GAUGAACGCUGGCGGCGUGCUUAACACAUGCAAGUCGAACGGAAAGGCCAGUGCUUGCCCUGGUACUCGAGUGGCGAACGGGUGAGUAACACGUGGGUGAUCUGCCCUGUACUUCGGGAUAAGCUUGGGAAACUGGGUCUAAUACCGGAUAGGACAACUUUUUGGAUAUUGUUGUGGAAAGCUUUUGCGGUAUGGGAUGAGCUCGCGGCCUAUCAGCUUGUUGGUGGGGUAAUGGCCUACCAAGGCGUCGACGGGUAGCCGGCCUGAGAGGGUGUACGGCCACAUUGGGACUGAGAUACGGCCCAGACUCCUACGGGAGGCAGCAGUGGGGAAUAUUGCACAAUGGGCGCAAGCCUGAUGCAGCGACGCCGCGUGGGGGAUGAAGGCCUUCGGGUUGUAAACUCCUUUCGCUAGGGACGAAGCGUAAGUGACGGUACCUGGAGAAGAAGCACCGGCUAACUACGUG
rnacentral:rRNA from 1 species